CACGUAGGCACCAAGCGUUGUCCGGAUUUAUUGGGCGUAAAGAGCUCGUAGGCGGUUCGGUAAGUCGGGUGUGAAACUCUGGGCUCAACCCAGAGCCGCCACCCGAUACUGCUGUGACUUGAGUUCGGUAGGGGAGCGGGGAAUUCCUGGUGUAGCGGUGAAAUGCGCAGAUAUCAGGAGGAACACCAGUGGCGAAGGCGCCGCUCUGGGCCGAGACUGACGCUGAGGAGCGAAAGCGUGGGGAGCGAACAGG
rnacentral:rRNA from 1 species